rnacentral:lncRNA from 1 species
GUCGCGAUAAAUUCCAUAUCUUGACGUGGAAGUAUCGGAAUCAGGUUCCGUUUUUUGCAUUAGAAAGUAGAUUCGUAGAUAUAAGUAUAACGCAGAAACGACAAUCAGAUUGCAUCCGAAUCAUAUCAGAUAUCACUCCAAAGAUGGUCUACUAAUCUUGGAUCGCUAGUUAUUUCAGCUUUGCGCAGCAUCACGAUAAAUUCCAUAUCUCGAUGUGGAAGUAUCGGAAUCAGGUGUCAUUUUUUUCAUUGGAAAGUAGAUUUGCAUAUCUAUCUUAUGAGUAAACAACAAUCAGAUUGCAUUCGAAUCAUCCCAGAUAUCGCUCCAAAAAUGGUCUUCUAAUCUUGGUUUGCUAGUUAUUUCAGCUUGGCGCAGCGUCACAAUAAAUUUCAUAUCUCGACAUAGAAGUAUCGGAAUCAGGCGCCGUUUUUUGCAUUGGAAAGCAAACUCGUAGAUCUACAUUAAGUGUGAAAUACAUCAACAUAAAACUUUCAUAUUUUCUCAGGUAAAUUUUUGAAAUUACAGCCUAAAUCUUGCGAUACUCCUUUUUCCUUUAGCAGACUUACGGCUUAAUUUAAUUUCUUUGGCAGGUCUUCAAACACAAAAAGGAUAUCUUCAAUUCUUUGAAAAUAGGUGAACUUCCGAGACCAAAC